GGGGAUUUAGCUCAGUGGUAGAGCACUUGCCUAGCACAUGCAAGGCCCUGGGUUUGGUCCCCAGCUCUGAAAAAAGAAAAAAAAAAAAAGAGUAACUGUUGCUCUCCCAGAGGACCUAGGUUCAGUUCCCAGCAUUCCUA
rnacentral:tRNA from 1 species